CUCCUGGGCAUUACAGUAACUUCAUUGACUUCAGUUCAAUUACUUACAAUUUGACUGAGAAGAGACUCAGGCCCCUAGUGUUUUGAUUGCUGCUGGAAGGAUCACAGAAUAGCAGACAUUGGAGUGCAGUGAGCAUUGAUCAAGAGUGGUGGGAGAGACAGACUCCAGAGAAGAUUUAUAUGAUGCUGAUCUGUCCAUGGAAGCAGCAGUGGGAGGAGUGUGAGCACGCAGUUGGCAGUCCAUGGUGCUGACAGGGAGAAGAAACCAAGAACAGAAGAUUUUACUUUUUAAGAGAUGUCUGGUCCAUUUUAAUAUUGAAGGAAGAGGGAUCAAAGAUGUAUGAUCUAUGACAAGUCACUUAACCUGUCUGUUUCAGCUGCCCUGCUAGCAAAACAAGG